GACGAACGCUGGCGGCGUGCUUAACACAUGCAAGUCGAACGGAAAGGCCCUGCUUUUGUGGGGUGCUCGAGUGGCGAACGGGUGAGUAACACGUGAGUAACCUGCCCUUGACUUUGGGAUAACUUCAGGAAACUGGGGCUAAUACCGGAUAGGAGCUCCUGCUGCAUGGUGGGGGUUGGAAAGUUUCGGCGGUUGGGGAUGGACUCGCGGCUUAUCAGCUUGUUGGUGGGGUAGUGGCUUACCAAGGCUUUGACGGGUAGCCGGCCUGAGAGGGUGACCGGCCACAUUGGGACUGAGAUACGGCCCAGACUCCUACGGGAGGCAGCAGUGGGGAAUAUUGCACAAUGGGCGGAAGCCUGAUGCAGCAACGCCGCGUGCGGGAGGACGGCCUUCGGGUUGUAAACCGCUUUCGCCUGUGACGAAGCGUGAGUGACGGUAAUGGGUAAAGAAACACCGGCUAACUACGU
rnacentral:rRNA from 1 species